UACGAAGGGGGCAAGCGUUGUUCGGAAUUAUUGGGCGUAAAGGGCGCGUAGGCGGUUCGGCAAGUCUUUAGUGAAAUCUCUGGGCUCAACUCAGAGUCUGCUGGAGAAACUGCCGGGCUGGAGUAUGGGAGAGGUGAGUGGAAUUCCCGGUGUAGCGGUGAAAUGCGUAGAUAUCAAGAGGAACACCUGAGGUGAAGACGGGUUGCUGGGCCAACACUGACGCUGAGGCGCGAAAGCCAGGGGAGCAAACGGG
rnacentral:rRNA from 1 species